rnacentral:lncRNA from 1 species
UUGCUUCUUGCGCUGCUAACUCAACGCUGCCUUCCUCCUUUUCACCCUUCUACUCUGCCCUGUGUGGAGGACACAUGAACAUCAGGGGUUCCUUAGUGAUGCCCACCCCAGGUGCAGGAAAACUCUUGGGCAUACAAGGCUUUGCAGUCGCAGAGGCAGGACAGAUCUUCUCUGCACAGGAUGGACGGCACGUGGGAACCGGAAACUGCAUUCCUUACAUUCCUGCUUUUACUGAUGCUAUCUGUGAAAACCUUCCUGACUCUCAGCUGACCUUGUUUCCGGAUUGUGUUCCUUUAUUUGCUCUUUGCUCGACUGUUCUCCUCCCUUCUCCCUCCUCCCUCCCACCUAUCCUAGCCUCCUGCUUCCUAAAACUGUUUUGUCCUUAACUGUUGGGUCAGCUCUCUGGGAAACGGUUCUGUUGAUGUAAGUGCACUUACCCUGGGAUGUUGUCACUAGUUAGUGGCUUUUGCUAAAUAAACCUUUCUUAUUUCUC